rnacentral:rRNA from 1 species
GACGAACGCUGGCGGCGUGCCUAAUACAUGCCAGUAGAACGCUGAAGGAGGAGCUUGCUUCUCUGGAUGAGUUGCGAACGGGUGAGUAACGCGUAGGUAACCUGCCUGGUAGCGGGGGAUAACUAUUGGAAACGAUAGCUAAUACCGCAUAAGAGUAGAUGUUGCAUGACAUUUGCUUAAAAGGUGCAAUUGCAUCACUACCAGAUGGACCUGCGUUGUAUAGCUAGUUGGUGAGGUAACGGCUCACCAAGGCAACGAUACAUAGCCGACCUGAGAGGGUGAUCGGCCACACUGGGACUGAGACACGGCCCAGACUCCUACGGGAGGCAGCAGUAGGGAAUCUUCGGCAAUGGACGGAAGUCUGACCGAGCAACGCCGCGUGAGUGAAGAAGGUUUUCGGAUCGUAAAGCUCUGUUGUAAGAGAAGAACGAGUGUGAGAGUGGAAAGUUCACACUGUGACGGUAUCUUACCAGAAAGGGACGGCUAACUACGUG